CGGACAAUGAAUGGCGAGCAGAUGGAUGCAAUAGCGCCGGCUGACUGGCUGGCUCUCCCUGGAGCGCCCAGCCCGGGCAGGAGAGCGGACAAACCUCCUUAGUCCGACCGGUGCCACAGAGCGAGUGCCCCGGGAUGCGGCUGGCUCUUUUUUACUUCCCCUUCCUGAGCUCUCUUUCCAGUACAUAGUCAACCCACCUUAGGCCUCUGUGGAGGAGUUUGGAGAGGGGGCCAAUUAUGUAGCAUGCAUGAUCUCAUGCAAAUGGCGUUACAUAUGCAUUUCCAGCACCUGACUGUGGAGUCUGACCUGAACAACAAUUAGAGUGUUUCCAAGCUAAACCUGAGGAAACAUUUGGAAAAGCUGUCUCAUGCAAGGAAAGUCUGUUUUCCUGCAAAGUCCCCUUUUAGGUUGCAGUGAAGAGAAAAAUUAAAUUCUUGUUCCAGCAGCCCUGCUGCAACUUUAAAGUUUAGAAAGGUCUAGUGCUCAACACCUUCUCCAACAGCUUCUGGGUGGUGAAGCUAGUAAGUCAUCUUCUUCUUACACAUAUUUGAUCUGAAUGCAUGUAUGCCAGUUUGAGGUUAGCCAGGCAGACUUUGCCUCUCUUCUGACUGAAGAAAACUUUUUUAGAUCAUAAAGUAAGAAUUGUAAAUACAUUUAGGCUUUGUAUCUUUUAAGAUAAAACAUAGAAAGAAAGACUGAAUAAACAGUGAAGCAACUACAAUUCAACACUGGUGAGAUUUUAUAAUGAAAUAACAGGUUCAAUGCAUAUAUAGAAUGUAUACCAUUCCAGAAAAAAGCAUAGAUGCUCAAAUACAACUACAUGUUAGAAUUAAUAAUCAUACCGUAAAACUUUAUUUUUUAAAAAUUACGUUUUUAAAUAGCCCCCGACUGGGAAAAGGAUUGAACAUUUGUUUUUUUCAGUUCCUUUACCAAAAAAACACAAGAAU